rnacentral:lncRNA from 1 species
UUUACCCAUAAGUCGCGCAAGUAUAAUUUAACACUCUAAAUUAAAAAUAAAAAUUAAUUGAAUACAAAGAAAUAAUGCUUUUACUGAUUAAUUAUUUCAUAUAUCUAAAAUAAUCAAUUGAAAAAAUUAUAAAUGUUAUACCUCACGAAAUUUUUUAAAAUACUAACAUACUGAAAUUCCUAAAUAUUUAUGUGACAAUAAUAAAAACUGAAAUAUUAAGUGAAAAAAUAAUUAUCAAAACAUUUGAUGGUAAAGUGAUAUAUAUAUAAAAAAAUAUUAAAUAAUUAAAUGAUAAUUUCUUUUUUUUCUAAUUGUUAUUACAUAUUUAUGUUUACUCAAACAAAAUUCAGGUUGUGGUUUAAAAAAUUUGAAAGCAAUAUGGAUUUAGAAUAACUUUUAGCAUAAUUCUUCUUAAAUUUAGAAAUGUAUCUUAAAUCUCAAUGUGUGUGUGUGUGUGUUUUUUUUUUCUUUUCUUAAUGAAUCAUUAACCUUUAACAACGCUUAACGUGAUUGACCCAUCAUUUAUUUAUGGUGCCGAUCAAGCAAGACCAUGUUCCUUCGUUUGCUAAUUAACGUUAAAAUUCAAUCGCGCAACAAAAUCUUGACUAAGCAUGGAAGCAAUCUGAUACAAGUAGCCACCAGCUUUGCAUUGUCUGUCGCUAUUCGGGAUACGACGCAUCAAUUAAAAUUGACUUGUUAACCGAAUUGAGACUCUUAAAUAAUGUCAAGUUGAAUAUCCAACUGCGUUUAUAACUUUUUCUUCUACUCAGAUUUUGGCGUGCAUGCGAUGGAUCUGUGUCUUUUGUUUUAGAACAUCAUGGAGGAUACCAGCUGAGAACAUUAUCAUCUUCAUCCUCCGCCAUAGUUGAACAAAUUAUCUAUUAUAACAAACUUAUUUCUGUAGUUGAUCUAGAUGUGUAUCUUACUAAAGUGGAAUCUGUAUUGUAUUUGUGUUUGGUUUAAUGAAUUUUUACUUAUUAAGAAAAAUCAUAUGUAUAUAAAUAUACAUGGAGAUGAAGGGCUCAUUUAGGUUUAAUCUACAGCUGUUGUGGAUAAAAAACUAUAAUUAUAAAAUAAAAAUUAAUAAUAUAUAAUUAAUAUAAAUUUUAAUAUAUUUUCUAUGAUACUAGUGAAAAAUCUUGUCAAUAAAACUUUUAAAUUAUAAUAAUUAAUAUUUAUUAAAUAUUUUAAUAUUAUAAUUUUUAAGUUAUAAAUGUCCAACCUCAAUCUCAAACACUCGAAAUAAAAAGAAGUUAAGGUAGCGUUUACUUUUUGGAUUGGAUUGGAAAUCCUGAGAAAUGGGAAUCCUAGGAUUGGGAGUGUGGAGUGGGAGUGGGAGUAGGUUGUUUACUUACACUGGAAUAAAAGCAUGGAAUGGAGAUCAGAAUCCAAUUUAUGUGUUUACUUUAUCUUGGAUUGGGAGUAAAUAGUUUCAAAUUAUAAUUUUAUCCUUAUUUAAAGAAUUAUAGUUUUUAAUUACAA